UUCUUUUGGCCUCCGCUGGACUCUUUCUAGGAGAUCUCUAUCUUCUUUGAACUGGGGAGCCCAGAACUGGACACGUUCUCGCUGAAUGGCAGCACAGCCUUCUGGUGUGUCAGCUGCUUCCGGCAGCUUCAUGUUGUCAGCAAAGUUGAUGAGAUUGGACUCUAUCCCUUCAUUCAGGUCAUUGAUGAAGAUGUUGAAGGAGACUGGGGGGAUAACGAAGAUGAUGAUGAUGAAGAUGCUGUACCAACCGCUGGGGAACACUGCUAGCUACAAGCCUCCAACUAGACUGCAUCACUGAUCACAACCCUCUGAGCUCAGUUUUCAACCCACCUCACUAUCCGCUCAUCUAUCCCACACAUACUAAGCUUCAUUAUAAGGAUGUUAUGGGAAACAGCAUCAAAAGCCUAACUGAAGUCAAGGUACACAGCAUCUACUGCUCUCCUUCCAUCUACCCAGCUGGUAAUGACAUCAUAGAAGGCUACCAGAAAGGCUCCUGAAGUAUGAUACUAUUCAUUUAAAAAGAUUGAUUUGGGGAAGAGCUUUAGGAAACUUCCACACCCAACAGUUCAUUGAAUCUUGGUUAGAUAAUUCGAGCAUCCUGAAAUCCCAUUUCCUGGAGAUGCACAGCUGGUCAGAAGGCCCACAGGUGAAUUGUGUACAGGUUUUUGAAUAUCAUAUUGCUUGACUGAAGUCUCCACCAUCAAAAUCCACACUUAAGAUAACAGGGCUGUUUUUAUUCUGAUCAGAAUCAACCUUGAAACAGCAACAGUGUUUGGCACCGAGUGGUGUUUAAUAACAACAAAAUAGGGGAAAAUGACACUAAAUGAAUUGGAAUGCAGAAAACGAAUGCUAUCUAAUACGUAAUUGAGUAAAGACACUUGUAUCUGUAAAGACUUUACAGAGCCCAAUGGUUUCUUUAAAAACGGUGUUUUUAAUAAGUUGUGUAAAUAGGUUACACAGGGGGUAGCAAAGAACAUCAGAUUUGUCCUCCCAUGUGCAUGAAUGAUAGUUCUCAUGAAAAGCACUGUUUUACAGUCUUUAUGGGUGAAUGCUCUCAAGCAGGGAUAAAUGAGAUAUCCUACUGUAAAUAUUUUUGCUGCGAAUAUCUCCCAACACAAAUCCUAUGAUGAAAACAAAUUUGUUAGGAAGAUAUUAUCAGAAACCAAUAUCUUCUGACACUUUCAAAUUAUUGCUACUCCCAGUGAAGACAGAGAAUAAUUCAGCUCCUCAGAUACCAUAUAAAGAGAGAGCAACAACAGAAAAAUGAAAAACCUGAAAAUAUGCACAAUGUUUUCAGGAUCAUGCCCAGCUAACCUUAGCAUUAUAAUCUAAAAUAGGCCCCCCAGGCUCAUACCCUCUUCCUCGGGGCAGACUGAUUUCAUGGAUCAAAUAAUCUCGGCCAUACACUCAUCGCAUUACAUAGUUAUCCAAUCCAUUUUUCCUUUGCCUAUAUAUUCCACACCAUGAUAUAUUCACAGUCAGACAAAAUUCGCUUUAAAUAAAAUUAAAGUAUUUCACAUAACCCUCACUUUCUUUUCCUGUCAUAUGGCUUGAGCAUUUAUCUAUUUUGUUUUUUUAAAUCUCAUUAUGUAUCACAGACACACAGUGGUGAUCAGUAUUGUAUUGCAGUAAGAUGAGGGAACAUGCCUUAUAUUGUGUUUGAAAUACUAUGUAAAUGUACAAGGUUAUAAAUACAUUUUUUUAAAGAGAAUAUUAAAAAUCAAGGUGGUAAUUUUAUCAGCAGGUAGAAAGAGAUAAUCAGUGGUCCCACAGCAAUGAAUACUUCUUAUGUAAUGAAGCUGGAAUCAAAUUUUUUGUUAGUAACAGAAAUAACUCCAUGGGUCAUUUUCAAAUUCCGCUGGGUAGAUUGGCCUAGUGUGAUGCUAUAUCACAAACUCAGAGAUCUAUCAGUAAAAACUAAAAACUAACAUGAAAUGUAGCAUCUUGAUUAGAAGACACAUCUUCACUGUUCUUUCUCUUCUGUAUGUCUGAAGAAAAUGAAAAUUUCUCUUUACUGUACUCUUAAUAAAUGCAAAAUCCUGAUGUUAACCUCUGGAAAUUGUCCAGGCAGGAAGACUAUGCCGUCCUUAUCUGACUAUUUGUUAAGGCAAAUAGUACCAUUCUACAUUCUGUGUUUUCCUUUAUGGUAAAUUGUCUAUUUUUAUGAUUGUGUGUUUCUUUGAUAACCAGACUAAAAAUCACUAUGCAUACUAUUCUUCUUUGCCUUCUGUUUACUGUUUGUGCUGUCAUUGAGCAAUUACUUAAUAACAAAUUUGAUGUUUUCUACAGGAUCAAGACUGCCAUACAAAAUUGUUUCUCUCUAGAGGCAUAACACUCAUUUGUUUGCUCUGACAUCUACCCUUGACCAAGCAGAUGUCCCACCACUCUCUAUCUCCUUUUCCAAACCUCACUAUUAUUUUUAUUUUUACACUUAAUAUUUUUCUUAGCGUCUAUCUUCUAAUUCACUUAAUAGAUCAUAUAUCACAUCAUUUCCCUUUUAUCUCUGUCCA